rnacentral:lncRNA from 1 species
UUUUUUUAUCAUACAAGAUAAGUUGUAUUUAAAGUCCAAAUGGACAAUUGAUUACAAAGCCAAACUGGCCCAAUAACAAAACAGCCCAAAUUUCAACCCAAACCCGAAUAGAAUCUAGCCCAUCUCAAGAAUUUUCUGGAAUACCCACCUCUCCAUCCCUCGCUCUCCCACAAUUGAUUCCCGGGCUCCAGAUGCUUGUGAAACUGUCGAUGACCAUACGCGUAGAAGAUAAAAUUCAAGUAAAAACCAGCAACUCAAAUCCGAAAACAACUCAAGAGAGCAACAUCCUGAUAGGAAAGGAAGAAAAUGAAAGAGUUCAAACAACGAAACAUGCUCAACCCAUACCAGGUUCGAGACCAAAAUCGCCAACUGAAAUCCAAGGGGAAGGCCAUGAUAUAGCCAUGGAGCCGCAGGAAGAAGGCAAAUUCGCACUCCAGCUUGAAUUAUCCAUCGAUUCGCACCACCCUCGACAACAAUCGGUCGAAAAGAAGAUCUGAGACGCAGAAUGAAAUUAUGUAACUAGAGAUACAAUCGCACCGAACACGGACAAAAUCGGAUCCCAGCCAAAUACCUCACUGCAUAUCAUAAGAGCAAAACCAAAACUAUACAGAAAAUCGCAGCAAGAGAAAUCUCACCCCUGAAAACCCUCGUCUUCCAGGUCGCUUAUACUCUUUCUCUAUUGCUUUCUUCUUCUUCUUAUUUUUAUUUUUAUUUUUUCUAAAUAUAAUAGACUGAAUAUUUCGCUCUCUAUAUAUAAAUCUCAUUGUCUCGUAUAUAGCAUGAAGAUAAUCAAGUUGCAGAUCUUUUAGCAAAAGAGGGAGCAACGUCAAUAUGCUUCGUUGCUUUUCCAUAAAAAGAACUUUUCACUUUUGUUCUCAGUUUCUUUUUUAUUUCAAUUGACCUGGUUAUGCUAUUAUAUGAGCUAGCCGAUUGCUUUUCUUUGCUUUGCUUUCUUUCUUUCUUUUUUUUNUAUUUUU